rnacentral:rRNA from 1 species
UACGUAGGGGGCAAGCGUUGUCCGGAAUUAUUGGGCGUAAAGCGCGCGCAGGCGGUUCUUUAAGUCAGGGGGGAAAGCCCAGAGCUCAACUCUGGAAUUGCCUUUGAAACUAGAGAACUUGGGUACGGGAGAGGUGAGUGGAAUUCCGAGUGUAGAGGUGAAAUUCGUAGAUAUUCGGAAGAACACCAGUGGCGAAGGCGGCUCACUGGCCCGUUACCGACGCUCAGGCGCGACAGCGUGGGGAGCAAACAGG